rnacentral:rRNA from 1 species
GAUGAACGCUGGCGGUAUGCUUAACACAUGCAAGUCGAACGGUCACUUCGGUGAUAGUGGCGGACGGGUGAGUAACGCGUGAGAAUCUGUCUUCAGGUCGGGGACAACAGCUAGAAAUGACUGCUAAUACCGGAUGUGCCUUUGGGUGAAAGAUUUAUUGCCUGAAAAAGAGCUCGCGUCAGAUUAGCUAGUAGGUGGUGUAAGAGACUACCUAGGCUCCGAUCUGUAGCUGGUCUGAGAGGACGAUCAGCCACACUGGAACUGAGACACGGUCCAGACUCCUACGGGAGGCAGCAGUGGGGAAUUUUCCGCAAUGGGCGAAAGCCUGACGGAGCAAUACCGCGUGAGGGACGAAGGCUUUUGGGUCGUAAACCUCUUUUCUCAAGGAAGAUGAUGACGGUACUUGAGGAAUAAGCAUCGGCUAACUCUGUG